rnacentral:tRNA from 1 species
GCCUUCUUAGUUCAGUCGGUAGAACACUACAUUGGUAAUUUAUAGGAAAUCCAAAGAUGUAGAGGUCCGGAGUUCAAUCCUCCGAGGAGGCU